GCAUCUUUCACAUGCUGUCAGUUUAGACCUCUCAGUUUGGUGAUAACGAGGAUUGGCUAUUCUUUGAAUGGUAUUUGCUAGGCAAAGAGGUGGGUCUGACAGAUGAGGGCAGAUCUGCACACCGGGAGCUCUAGGACACCUGAAGUUGAAUUCAUGCAAUGUGGUUUUGCACCACAGAUCCAGUGAAACCAACUUUGUUAAUGUCUGAAGGGAAGAAUCAGCUGUGUGUUUCGAUCUAAGGUCUUCCAAUAGAAAUGAUCUUCAUGGGUUUCUUUGUUUGGAUUUACAUGACAUUUGGUAAAGACUUCUUACUCUGGCCUCUGGGUAGCCUUUGCCCAACUUACCUAUGGCACAUAGCUGUCUUUAUCUGUAUACCCCUUCUGCAAUGGCAACCUGGUAUAAUUAUAAUUUUCUUUUUAGUGUAGUCAAAAAUGGGACUUGCUGGAUCUUGAGACAAGAGUCAUGGCUAACGAAGAUGGCCGAAGCUGCCUGUGAAGUCUCACAAGUCACGAAUGAACAAUGUGUCAGAACAGUGUAGCUAGUCACCAAGGGAGGACAAACUAUCUGCCUAUGGCUAAUCACUUGCCUGAAAAUGUCUUUAUGGAGAACCAGGACAUUUUUAUGUGUAAUUCUUGACAAAUCCUAUUUAUAGGGUUUGAUUCUAUACCCCAAUUCUGUUAAGUUGAAGCAAGCUUGACUUAUUUUAAGAUUAUUGUCCAUAUCACCUGGGUGAUACGUGGAGAUUUCUAUCUGUAACAAAAUAAGGCAUAAGGCACGGUGAACAGCAGUGCGUUUUCUCCAUGUUGUGAUAUCAACAUUUUUAUUUCCAAAUUCUGUAAAAAUAUAUCCCUUAUUUCCAGAGGAACCUCAUCAAGUAGCUAUCGGCACAGCAGAACUAGACAAUGUGAUAAGUUUGACCAUUGGAUGCUGAAGGGAACUGGAUCAGGCACUCCUGGAGCCAUCUUUAGAUGGGAGGAAAUCCGCUGGCUCUGGCCAAGGGAACACUCACCCACCAUUUUUUUUUUCCUCUUCUCUCACAACAAAUGCAUUUGAUUACUUUAGGAGAAAUGGCUCCAAGGUAUGCUUAACCCAAAGGUUUCUCAUGUUUGCCUAUGCUGUAUGCACUGUGUGACAGGAUGCUCUAAAUGCAGGCUAUUUAAUUUGUGUGGAUUUCUCUAGUUUACAGAGUUGAGAUUUCUUCUCAUGUAAGUGAUCUGUUCUGAGUGGGGCAUUUCACAUUAGACAUAUUUCAUAUAUCUAUUGUGCCUUUGAGUUUUGUGAGCUCAAUACCUCCAUUAGGAAAGACACUCUCACAAGAGGGGCACUGCAAUCUCAGUGCCCAUUACAUUUGGUUCAAAACCAAAAGAAACAAUCCUUCUACUUUAUCUGAUGUUUUCCGGCCUGUGGUGCUCUGUGCACUAAAGUCCAUGACACAAUCAUACUGGCAGCUUGUAUCAGAAAAAAGCACAAAAGGGAAGUCUUCUCGUGAAGAUGUGCACAGACUGGAAACAUUCAUUAAAAACAAAAUCUGACAAACAUUUAUAUUUUCCAAAGAUGGUUUCUAAGCUAUUACCUUCACCAGAACGCCAUCAGCACUUACAGACACAAUUCGCAGACACCCGGACGACGCCACUGAAACUCCACAGCUUUGCAUUACACGGAUUUUCAUUUUGUACACAAGUGCAUAUAAUGCAGCUUCUUCAACUGAGAUGCAGCGACGGUAACUAAAGCAGAACACCCCUGGCAAACGCCCAAGGAACACAUUGCAAAAUGUGUUUCAGCUGUGGCCACAUGGCGGCGCCACCGCAGGUAUCAACCUGGUUUUCCUCUGGUUUCCUUUAGUUUCCAUGGGCUUUUGAAGGCAGUCCAAACUUGCACCGAGUGGUUUUUCGUGGCUGUCGUCUUGUUCCUGCUUGUUAGAGCUUAACGAAGCUUGCCAGCGUGCGUUAUGCGAUGAUGUUGUACGGUGAUGAAAAACACAGCAGAAAAAUCAGCUGGGAACGGAAGAGGCGAUAAAACACAAAGAAAUCCCGGAAACGGCUACCAUUUGCUAUUAAAUGUAAGCACAAGUCCUCUGCAAAGUGUUAGAGCGAAGGCUAAGAGAAUAAAACGCAGCAUUAGGGCGUAUCGUUGUACAAUGCUCGUCGAUUUAUGUGCCCCAAGAACACAUCCUCCAUUUUACGUGUGCUCCUAGGAGGAGUCUGCCUUGAAUGACACAAGACCUUCAACAACUUGCCUCUGGCAUAAACCUGACAAGCCACGUUUGUUUACUGUCCCUUCUUUUCCUGUUAUGUGACUUCAUCUCUCAACCCAGUCUCCGGAAAGGCAAAUGAAUGAUUGCUGGGGCCUGGUCAAGGUUUGAGGAACAAAGGAGAAAGGCUUCUGAAGUAUUUAACACCCAGGGAGUAUUUCAUGAACGAUCUCCAGUCAUGCUCCCCCAGUCCUAAGAAGCCAGCAUUGUUUAUAGCUUUAUAGAUGAGAGGCUGGGCUCGCAGAGCAAAGCCACCAUCUGGCUUUAUACCCAGUGUCUGGUAGAGACAGUUCUGAAUCAGACUUAUAUGGACCGUUAGCCUAAUUAGAAGGGGAAAUGGUUGCACUUAAAAUCAUAACUGGUUUCUACAGCAGAAGUGUGUUGUGUGUGUGUUCCUGUGAUGUGUGUAGUUUAAGGUGCUCUUAAGAAUCACUGAGGAAAUUAAUUAGGUGGAUGCUUUUUGUAUGUUUUUUUUCCUGGUCAGAUCAUGAACAAAGGGAGACCUAGAAAAAACAUGAGCUAUAUUAGUGGUCCUGGCUCAUUACUAGAGAGUUCUGUCUAGGUCCACUACAGAAGAGGGUAGCAGAAACACAGGCAUAGAUCCACUCAGGGCCAUCUGGAAUAUGACAGUCUUGUUUACCAGCUUGCCUUUCUCCUAACAAAACCAGCUCCACUCCCAUUCAGUCCUCUCUCACUCACUGUGUUUCUCCUACACUGUAUACCAGGCUUAAUAUAGACAUCCCCGUAACUGGAGGAAGGGCAGAGCCAUCUGUUAUCGGGGAGAAAGAGAUUCCUAAGUAAAGGAACAGGAAAAGACUCCCCUCUUCCUCCUACCCACUGGAGGGGCCUCUCCUGACUGGAUUUCUGGAUACUGCUUUUCUGUGACCCUGGAGGGCCUGGUGUAGAGCCUCUUUACUUCUUAAAGUUCACUGACACUAAUUUGUUUUUUGAGAAAUUUUAAGACUCUUUCAAAAUCCCUUAUAGUGACUAGAAAUACCCUAGGGUGUUGCAAAUUCAGAGUUUGGGGAUUAUUGUGGAGAAUCUAAAGCUACAGUGAUGUGCACAACAGCCAGUGGGAUGCCCGGCGUGGGGUGUUUUGUCUGUCAAAACGGCUGACGGUGCUCAAUUUUGCAUCAGAUAGAGUGGAUCCCACCAUCGGCACACCUACAGGCAGAUGGUGCUUGUGUUUCCGUGACACCAAAAUAUUUGUGUUAAAGAUAGCAGAACCAAGCCUGACCACUUUUAUUUUCCCCAUUUAACUGUUUAGCUCAGCCUCAGACAGGCUGCAUGGGGUGUUAUUGAGAGCAUGGGCUUUGGAAGCAGACGGGGCUGGAUUAGACUUUCUAUGCUCCUAAGCCCUGUGACUUGGUGUCCUAGUUUGGAAGAUGGAUCAAUGGGCAAAAUGGUAAUAAUUGUAUCCCUUGGACUAUGUAAGCCCGUAUCUGGGGUGAAGACGGUAAGUAAAUAUGUGGGAAGCCACAUUCUGAGUGCUUAGUAAAUGCUGUGACAUCUCCUUUUGCCUUGUCUGUCUCCUUCAGUAGAAGAUGGCCUUGAUUAAGGACAUGGUGACAUGGUGGACACUUAGAGGUGGAGGGGAUCCUUGGAAACACAAGUCCAGUCAUCCAGGGAAGGCGUGGGAACCAGCACCAUGGAAAACAAAUAGUUCUGUGCUGCCGUGGGAGUUGGGUCAGAACAUUUAUUGGAGACCUCAGGGGUGUACUAGUGCCCUGCCUCGUGUGGACUGCUGACCCUUGGAGGGCAGGGAUAAAGGAGAACGUGGGAGGACUGAGGACAGGUGAGUGAGUCUGAAGACACUGACUUAUGGCUCCCAAGAGCCUUCUAGUCCUGCUGAACUUCUUAGCACACAAUUUCAAACUUGUUCUGAGUGACUUAACCUUGCUUAUCCAUUGUCAUGGUGGAAACCUGUGUAGCCUCCAAAAGCCUGGUGGCAGGGCUUUGGCAGGAGAUGCCAAGUGUUCUAAUCACCAGUGCGAAUUGAAUGAAACAUGGGGACUGAAUGGUUGAAUGGUUAUCCCCUCGGAAUUUAACAGAAAUACCUUUCUGCCUUUAUAAAUGUAGGUGCGUCCUAGGUUCAUGUUUUUGCCUGAUUCUUGAAAGGUGCCUGCUGACUACUGGAACAGGCCUGACUGGGCUGUGUGUGCGUUUUCUUUUAACAGAAUAACUGGUUCUCCGUUGAGAGUUCAUCUUUGUCUAGCUCAGGGAGAGUGGAGUUCUAGGUUCAGAGGUGAGAGAGAAAUCUGGAGAUCUUUUGGGUAUCUGUUUUAGCAUCUGAUGUGAGAGGUCUGGUCAGGAUCCAGAAGAUAGGCUUGUUCUAGGGAGCCCAGGGUAAUGUCUUACAACAGUCCUGAAGGGACUUAUGUCUGCCUGAAUGGAACUGAGGUGAUGGAAGUUGAGAAGGCUUGAGAAAUUUCUACAGAUGGUUAUGGGGAACUUGGAGAAUUGAAGAAAACCAGUGGUUUAGAGUAAGGCCAUUUGCCAGAGGCGAAGGACAUCUGUGGAGAACAUGAGAAUUCCCUUAGAGAUCUCUGAAAGUAGAGGGGUUGGGUAGCCUUGUCACAACUUGCAGAUGGGUACUCAGAAUGCUUGCCAUAUGAAGGUAGCGAGACCUGACACUUUUGCCUCGAAAGCUGGUGACAAAAUGUUUAUGCCACCAGUAGCUGUGGUCUCCCUCUGCCUUACACUUCCAUAGGUAGCCCAUUUUCAAGACACAAAUAGAUGUCCAGAGAAGUACAUGGGUUUUCUUUCUCUUUCAUAGAACUUGGCCUUUGCUGUCCUGCCAGGCACUUAAGACAUUUCCCAUAGGGGAUGAGAACUUAGCUUCUCUAGGUGUCCCUUUCAGAUUUUCUUCUUGGGGUCCUGGAAGAGAAUGAGAGAGCCCUGUGUACCUCAGACCACAGAGGGUAAGGACUUUCUUUCCCAGGGCAGUGGGAUGACACUAGAGAAUGGGCUAGCAUGGGCUAGCCAUGGCUAUUUUAGGACAGUCAAGACUGCUUAUUAGCUUGGCCCUAUUUCUCUGGAUGAAGAAGUUGAGAAUUUGCCCUUUCUGUUCUAUGGGAACAACUGAAACACCCUGAACUUUGGAAACACUGACCUCCUCAGGUGAUUCUGGGUGGAUUUAGAGAACUUUUCUCAGCAGGACUUGAAACUUACUCUCCUUCAGAGUACUGUUGAGUCCUGGCAAAGUAGGUGGCCUGGUGGGCACAAAAACAGAGGGUCCCGAGUGCUCGUGAAACUGGAAAUGGAAUCUAGGGGAACACACCAUAUUAUGGGAGUCAGUCGAUAGACAAGACUUAACUCCAUUACUUUUCCCAAAAUGUACCAUACCGAAUGUGAAAUGACCAUGACGAUGUGGACUAUCUUCAUGAAAGUUUGUCUCCUCUUUCUGGGGCAUACUUCUGUGUGAGUCUCACUCCAAAGAGCUUUCAUUAUAACCGAUAAUGGAGAGGCGCUUUGACACCAGGAUGAGGUAUUUCUGUAUCUGAACAGCUUCCUUAAUCUUUUCAUUCUUGUAGGUAGGAUGUGAGAAUCAUCCUAGCAGGAUGUUAUAAAGCACUGAGGAUAUGUUAGCUUAACUAACUUCUCUCAUGAAUAAAAUCAGCUAAGGAAUGCUUAACCGACUUAGUUUCCACAAGCCACGCACUUCACUCUGUCUGAAGACCUGUGGGUAAAUUCAUAGCCUUAAAAAGUGUGUGACGCUUGGCGUUUUGUAGUCAGGCAGGGGCCAAUGGCAUGGAAAACUGGAAGUAGCUUGUGUGGUGUUGUUGUUGCCUGACAUGGCUGUGGUGGCUGCUUGGACUGCACAGAGUCACACACCCGUCAGUGAUGGGGACAGAGCUCCAGCCUGACCUCCUGACUCAGGCUGUGACUCACACACAUGCCGUUUUGUACACUACCAGACAAGCUCCCAACUCGAGCAUUCAGGAUGUUGCUGUAGAGUGAGAUGUAGGAGGCCACACUUGCACUCAGAUGUUUAAUUCCUAAGAGACGAUGUGUGAGAGAAGCACCGGACGCCAGGCUUCGAAUGCUACCUCAUGACUGAGAAGCAUCAUUCUGGCACACCGUACUCCCCUUGGUUGUCCCACUGAGAGUUAAUGAGGCACACGUGGCUUUGGUACUCAGAAAACCUUGACACACACUGAAUAUUUUUUUUCCCUGUUUCUCUUCUUUCUAGGCCUUUGUGGCAAACAGUAGAUGUUUAAAAACAAGCUAAUGGUACAUGCUGUGUUAGCUUCUUAUGGAAAGUUAUGGAAGGGAAUGAGAGAGAAGCUCUCACACAUAACUCACUCUAGAGAGCCCCAGUCACCCCCAGGAAAUGCAAACCCUGCUUCCUGGGCUCCCCUCUUAACGCCAGGUCAUCCCAAGGGACACCUGUUUUCCUCAAACCCACUUCCCUGACAGGUUGAUGCUGGCUGAACAUUUUGCAAGACCUGGGCUAGGUCUUGUUAAUUUCAUAUUAUCCCUGCCACCUACCCCGAGUUUCAUCAUGUUUAUUUAGUGAAUACACAGUAAAAAGUCUUAAAAAUGCCCCUGAUUAAUAUAUUUUGGCAGCGAGAAAGGAGACAAAUUAACCAAGCUUUUCCAAUCUCAUCCAAAGUUAACUCGCAAACUCCAUUUUAAGGAAGGGCUUCCUGUGAAGGCUGCCUUGGAAAGCAUUGUGGGCCAAUUCCCCAACCUGUAAUAAACUAUAUGUAUAAAGAUAGCAGUGUUGUUAUACAAUUUAAUUAGUGCAUCACUCAGACAUUUGGACCAAUGCCUGGCUCUUUUCCUGCACGUUCAUUCAGCUUUUAGUCUAACUCCCGCGUGAAAUAAACAAAAAGGCUAAUUGCUUUUGGAUUUUAGCACCGGGUGAAAUACCUGGAUUCAUUAUGUGAAUCAUAUUUUAUAGGUAGAUUAAAGGUUCUAUUGGCAAAUGAAAAAUUCUACGAUGACAGCUGUAACGUUCAAAGGCAAGGCAAUGGAAAGGCCCGUGCUCCCACAGGCAGCAUAUGGACCCAUCUGACAUGCUCCUGGUUCUCAUAGCAGGGUAAAUGUUUGCACACUGAUGAGGACAUUGCUCCUGGCUGGGAAGAAUUUGUGUCAUGGCUCUGAAGCAAUGAUGGGCUGGUAAAGGUUUAAGGAUUUGUGUCCAUCAGGAAAACAAAACAAAAAACAAACCAAACCAAAAACCAAAACAAACCCCCUUUUGUUUGUAAGUUCAGACCGCAGCUGAUCUUAAGGAGUGGGGACCUGACUCUCCCCAGUCCUCUAGCCAGUGCUUCCUGGGGCAUGAGGUGGAGGGAAGGCCUGGUUUCAGAGGCCAGAGCUUGCUUUUAAUAAUCUCUCCAAAAUACAGAUGUUGGUGUGGGGAGUUCUGGAGCGGACCCCUUGUGAGCAUGUUAGGACCCAGCAAACCGGAAUGCCUUCUCAGCUUCCUGAAGAACAAGGCAGGUGGAUGAAGAGGGGUUGCCCCUGACAGCCCUGCUCCUGACCUUGCUCAAGGAAGACCUUCAAUACCCACCUCCAUCUGACUGAGUUCUGUUAAGGAAGAUAACACUCACAUCUUUGGCUCUCUUCACGAGUGGAGUAAGCCUUCCAUUCUUCAAAGGGAGAACUCCCAGAAGCCAGCAGUGCCCUUGACAAAACCAGCUCAAACUCAAGCUGACAAGCACUUGACUGGGACCAUCACAUCAUUCUUCAGUGACAGGGUCCUGAGCAAGAGGGGCCGGGGAUCAGAGGUAAAGAAGAUAAAACAGAGUAAUGCAUUUGAUUUUGAUGAGGCCCAAUGAAAUACACAGGAGCAAACAAGGUCUUUGGGAAAACGAACUCAGAAUAGCUACUUCCAGCUCGUAUCCAAAGGGGAUAGAAUCAAGAAGAAAAGAGUCCGUGGCAUGCUCAGAAAUUUACUGGAAAGAGUCAAGCUGAGAAAACCAUUCAACUGCAAAGACACACUACCUUACCUGGGUGAGGAAGGAUAACUUGGAGAGGAACUGAGAUCCCAAAUUACAGAGCCAGGAACCAUGGAGGAUCCAAGGGACUUCCAACGUUCAGAAGAUGGCUUUCUCAAAUCAAGAAGACCCUCACCAGAACCUGCUGGUAGCCAAUGAGAGUUUCUAGGCUCUGAAACUGUAUUGUUGUGCUCGGAAUGCUGCAGCCUCCAUCUUGAGACUCCACCCAACACCAAUACAGGCAAGAGGAGCAGAGGGUGUCCAACUCCUACACAUGGGCCGCUAAACUUCCCCCAGCCAACCAAAAAGCUGGUUUUUAGUUAAAAAUACUGUCUGCUGAUAAAAGAAAUAAGGAUGAGUGUAUCAUUCAACCCUCAUUGGAGAAGCUUCCUCCUGCAGUAGAUGGGAAUUAGCAGAGACCAACAACUGGACAUAAGUAAUGAGUGAGAGACUUGGAGGCCCUCAGUCCCACAUGGGAGGUCUUCGUCAAAUUCCUUCCCUGAAGGCUUAGGGAGCUAUGUAGAUGAGGAGACAGAAAGAUCGUAAGAGCCAGAGAUGGCGGGUGAUUCCAAGGAACAAUGUCUUCCAGACACAACAGGACUGAUCUACAUGUAAGUUCACAGAGACUGUGAAGCCCACAAAACCUGCACAAGUUCAAACAAGACAAAAUCCCAGCACCGAGAAGGGGAAAUGGACCCAGGUAGAGUCCUAGCCCUAACUAAAGAGCUAUUUGCAAGUGAUGUUUACUGGGAAAGGGAAAAUCCAUUUUCUCUCGUGGAGUGUCACUGGGCAUAUCAGUCA
rnacentral:sRNA from 1 species